UACGUAGGGUGCAAGCGUUGUCCGGAAUUAUUGGGCGUAAAAGAGCUCGUAGGCGGUCUGUCGCGUCUCUGUGAAAACCCGAGGCUCAACCUCGGGCCGCAGUGGGUACGGGCAGACUAGAGUGCGGUAGGGGGAGAUUGGAAUUCCUGGUGUAGCGGUGGAAUGCGCAGAUAUCAGGAGGAACACCGAUGGCGAAGGCA
rnacentral:rRNA from 1 species